rnacentral:lncRNA from 1 species
CUUUUCCCAUCCUACCCCAAUUCUCAAAUCCUUUACUAAGUGUUUAAGAGAUGCAAAUGCCCUUCCCCCCUUCCCUAUCCUGCUUUCUUUUGCUGUCAGAGUCUCUAUUUUUACUUCUAUUUUUUCCCCCAGAUUUCAAUGCAGCAAACCCUGUGAAAACCUAAUCAAACUUUUUAUUAAAUAUGAAGAUUCAGAGCAGAAUGGAGCUGAAUGGAUGCUGGGCAGAGGGUCAGUUUUACUUUAGUAGAGCAUCUUUUUGAUGUGCUGGUAAAGACACGACAUUUAUCAAAGAAUAAUUUUCCCAAAAAGGGGCAAAAUCAUGACUCUCAUAGAGAUAAAAUGAACAUGUGCUAAAGAUUUUAUUCGACUCAUUGAUUAAGUGACUGAACCAGAUCAUAAUGCCUGGUUAUGGCAAAAAGACCGCAAUUCCCACCAGAGAGCAAAAAGGAAGUAAAGCUACCAUUGUUGAUCUGAAACUAAAUGGAUUCUUGUCCGUUGUGAGGAGCAGCAGCCUACAAAGCACACUGAAUGCCAAAUGUGUUGCACCAGGGCUACAGGGAGUCGACUGCUCACAGAAAGCAAGCAUUCUGUUCUAAUUCUGUGCUGUAAGCUUUGCAAUAAGAGGCUCCAUAUGAGAAGGCUGGUGGUUGCCCAGCUGGGCUUA